UGAUUGAUUUUGAUCCAAUGGCUCAAAAUUACUCUUUAGUGAUCUUCCCCCUUAUUUCUUAUUGGUCAAUUAUUCAAAGUUUAGAUUAGUAUCUCUGACAAUUGAUUACAUGUAAUCCAAUGGUUAAAAAUCAAUCCUUUUUCUUUUCUCUUCUUCUGUACUUAUCGAUAUUUUUUUUUCACAAGUCUGACUUCUCAGUUUCACAAUUCUCAUCUCUCACUAUCUCUUUCUCGCACACACACGAUUCAUCAUCUCACAUAUGCUUUCUCUGUAUCACUCUUCACACACACGAUCUGUCUACACUCACCGGUGCUUGUGAGCAGAGAUACCACGACGAAUCGUCGCAUUGACCGGUUUUGAUUCCCGUUAAUUUUUUUUUUUGAGAUUUUGUAACAGAGAAACAGAUCCUGUCUUUCCAGAUUCAGAGAUGGGGAGUGAUUAACAGAGAUAGAGAAGACAGAACGCAGGAGAUAGAUGAAAAGGGUGACGGCGGUGGCCUGAGCUUUUCUCCGCUGAGAAAGAGAAGACAGGGGAAGAAGAAGACAGUAUUGGUCAUGGGCUUGUGGCGAGGAGGCGACAGAGAAUCUGGUGGUCGCGAGCAGAGUGGUGAUUGAGUGCGGUGGAGGAAUAUGAAGAAGCCUUGACGGCGGCGUUAAGAAAAAGAGGUUUAGGUUUAGUUUAGGUUUAUGUUUAGGUUUAGGUUUAAGUUUGGUUUAGUUUUGAUUUAAUAUUUUUUUGUAAACCAAUUUAAUUAUAAAUCAUUUUAUUUAAUAAAAAAUUAAAUAUAUAAACGAGUUUAAAUUUUAA